GAUGAACGCUGGCGGCGUGCCUAAUACAUGCAAGUCGAGCGAACGGACGAGAAGCUUGCUUCUCUGAUGUUAGCGGCGGACGGGUGAGUAACACGUGGAUAACCUACCUAUAAGACUGGGAUAACUUCGGGAAACCGGAGCUAAUACCGGAUAAUAUUUUGAACCGCAUGGUUCAAAAGUGAAAGACGGUCUUGCUGUCACUUAUAGAUGGAUCCGCGCUGCAUUAGCUAGUUGGUAAGGUAACGGCUUACCAAGGCAACGAUGCAUAGCCGACCUGAGAGGGUGAUCGGCCACACUGGAACUGAGACACGGUCCAGACUCCUACGGGAGGCAGCAGUAGGGAAUCUUCCGCAAUGGGCGAAAGCCUGACGGAGCAACGCCGCGUGAGUGAUGAAGGUCUUCGGAUCGUAAAACUCUGUUAUUAGGGAAGAACAUAUGUGUAAGUAACUGUGCACAUCUUGACGGUACCUAAUCAGAAAGCCACGGCUAACUACGUGCCAGCAGCCGCGGUAAUACGUAGGUGGCAAGCGUUAUCCGGAAUUAUUGGGCGUAAAGCGCGCGUAGGCGGUUUUUUAAGUCUGAUGUGAAAGCCCACGGCUCAACCGUGGGGGGUCAUUGGAAACUGGAAAACUUGAGUGCAGAAGAGGAAAGUGGAAUUCCAUGUGUAGCGGUGAAAUGCGCAGAGAUAUGGAGGAACACCAGUGGCGAAGGCGACUUUCUGGUCUGUAACUGACGCUGAUGUGCGAAAGCGUGGGGAUCAAACAGGAUUAGAUACCCUGGUAGUCCACGCCGUAAACGAUGAGUGCUAAGUGUUAGGGGGUUUCCGCCCCUUAGUGCUGCAGCUAACGCAUUAAGCACUCCGCCUGGGGAGUACGACCGCAAGGUUGAAACUCAAAGGAAUUGACGGGGACCCGCACAAGCGGUGGAGCAUGUGGUUUAAUUCGAAGCAACGCGAAGAACCUUACCAAAUCUUGACAUCCUUUGACAACUCUAGAGAUAGAGCCUUCCCCUUCGGGGGACAAAGUGACAGGUGGUGCAUGGUUGUCGUCAGCUCGUGUCGUGAGAUGUUGGGUUAAGUCCCGCAACGAGCGCAACCCUUAAGCUUAGUUGCCAUCAUUAAGUUGGGCACUCUAAGUUGACUGCCGGUGACAAACCGGAGGAAGGUGGGGAUGACGUCAAAUCAUCAUGCCCCUUAUGAUUUGGGCUACACACGUGCUACAAUGGACAAUACAAAGGGCAGCGAAACCGCGAGGUCAAGCAAAUCCCAUAAAGUUGUUCUCAGUUCGGAUUGUAGUCUGCAACUCGACUACAUGAAGCUGGAAUCGCUAGUAAUCGUAGAUCAGCAUGCUACGGUGAAUACGUUCCUGGGUCU
rnacentral:rRNA from 1 species